AACGCUGGCGGCAGGCUAACACUGCAGGUCUAGCGCGCCUUCGGGCGAGCGCGCGGACGGGUUAGUAACGCGUGGGAACGUGCCCAGAUCUACGGAAUAGCCACUGGAAACGGUGAGUAAUACCGUAUACGCCCUUCGGGGGAAAGAUUUAUCGGAUUUGGAUCGGCCCGCGUUAGAUUAGGUACGUUGGUGGCGGUAACGGCUACCAAGCCUACGAUCUAUAGCUGGUUUUAGAGGAUGAUCAGCAACACUGGGACUGAGACACGGCCAGAACUCCUACGUGGAGUGCAGCAGUGGGGAAUCUUGGACAAUGGGGGCAAACCUGAUCCAGACCAUGCCGCGUGAGUGAAGAAGGCCCUAGGGUCGUAAAACUCUUUCGCACUGUGAUGAUAAUGACAGUAGCAGGUAAAGAAACCCCGGCUAACUCCCGUGCCAGCACAGCACGCGGUAAUACGGAGAGGGGUUAGCGUCUGUCGGAAUUACUGGGCGUAAAGCGCACGUAGGCGGAUUCAGCAAAGUUAGAGGUGAAAUCCCGGGGCUCAACCCCGGAACUGGCUUUAACAACUACUAGUCUAGAGUUCGAGA
rnacentral:rRNA from 1 species